AUUGAACGCUGGCGGAAUGCUUUACACAUGCAAGUCGAGCGGCAGCGCGGCCUUCGGGCUGGCGGCGAGCGGCGAACGGGUGAGUAAUGCAUCGGAACAUGCCCAGUCGUGGGGGAUAACUCUUCGAAAGAAGUGCUAAUACCGCAUACGUCCUGAGGGGGAAAGCGGGGGAUCGCAAGACCUCGCGCGAUUGGAGUGGCCGAUGUCAGAUUAGCUAGUUGGUGGGGUAAAGGCCUACCAAGGCGACGAUCUGUAGCUGGUCUGAGAGGAUGAUCAGCCACACUGGGACUGAGACACGGCCCAGACUCCUACGGGAGGCAGCAGUGGGGAAUUUUGGACAAUGGGGGCAACCCUGAUCCAGCCAUUCCGCGUGAGUGAAGAAGGCCUUCGGGUUUUAAAGCUCUUUCGGCAGGAACGAAACGGUGGGCUCUAACAUAGUCCGCUAAUGACGGUACCUGAAGAAGAAGCACCGGCUAACUACGUG
rnacentral:rRNA from 1 species